rnacentral:rRNA from 1 species
AUGGCCGCACUCGCCCACCACCACCGUGUCCUUUCCUUCACCUCCUUCGCAACUCCAAGAACUCACCUACCCUGCGCGUCCUCCUCGUCGCCUCCCACGCAUGCCCGCCUCAGAGGCGCCCGUGUUCUCCGGCACGCCUCCGGCGACAGCAGUAGCGCGGCCCUCGCCACCAGCUCGUCGCUGGAGGAGCUGUCCCGGAGCUGCACCACCUGGUCAUGGCGAGGGAUGCGCGUGAACUACCUGGUCAGGGGGGAGGGCCCGCCCGUGCUGCUCGUCCACGGCUUCGGCGCCUCCGUCGCGCACUGGCGCAGGAACAUUGGCGUGUUAUCUGAAUCCAACACCGUCUAUGCCAUCGAUUUGCUCGGGUUCGGGGCGUCAGACAAGCCUGCUGGAUUCUCUUACACCAUGGAAACAUGGGCCGAGUUGAUCCUGGAGUUCUUGGACGAGGUCGUCAAGAGGCCCACCGUGCUUGUUGGCAACUCUGUGGGCAGCCUUGCUUGUGUCAUUGCCGCCUCAGAUUCUACCAGGGACCUUGUCCGGGGACUCGUGCUGCUGAACUGCUCAGGUGGGAUGAACAACAAGGCGAUCGUCGAUGACUGGAGGAUCAAGCUGCUCUUACCUCUGCUCUGGCUAAUCGACUUUCUGCUCAAACAAAAGAGUAUCGCAUCGGCGCUCUUCGGCCGCGUUAAAGAAAGGGAGAAUCUGAAGAAUAUCUUGAUGUCUGUCUACGGAAACAAAGAGGCCGUGGAUGAUGAACUGGUCGAGAUCAUAAGGGGGCCGGCUGACACCGAAGGUGCUCUCGACGCGUUCGUGUCGACGGUGACGGGCCCGCCGGGGCCUAGCCCGAUAGCCCUGAUGCCGACGAUCAAGAUUCCGGUCUUGGUUCUGUGGGGAGACGAGGACCCCUUCACCCCGAUCGACGGGCCCGUGGGGAAGUACUUCUCCGGCCUCCCGUCCGAGCUUUCCAACGUGAGACUCUACAUGCUGGCGGGGGUUGGCCACUGUCCGCACGACGAUCGGCCGGACCUCGUGCACGAGAAGCUGCUGCCAUGGCUGGCCAGCCUCCCGUCUGCGGCAGAGCCUGAGGUGGCGGUAGCUUAA